AGUAUUGUGUCAGACCGUCUGACACAAUACAUUUGGUCGGACGACCACUUCUCUCUCUGUUCAUCCCUUCCACCUUUCCUACCUCUCUCUAACUAUUCUGAUUUCUCAUCAUCAACCUUCAUUUUCUCUCUCCUUUCCUUCUUCCAUUCCAGCAAAAACUCUUGUUCAACUUUCUUUACAUAAUUCCACUUAUUGGUUUACACUUUUGCUCUGCCAUAAACAUCAUAACCCAACUCAGUACCUAAAAGAAAUGGAACACCAUAACACCGUAAACACCAUAACACCAUAAAUUGAUGCAAAUUUCUCAGUUGCUCAACUGUCAGAUUUUGGGAACCAUGUAGUCCAAGUGUUCGCGUCCAACACAACUACUCGCGAAAAUGGACAUCUAGAUCUGUAGCCUCUAACAAUGGCUUUCAAGUAUCUACCAUGGAUGUUGAAGGUCAUUGGUAACCAGAUUGAGAUUGAAGAACAAAGGAAGAGAAAGAGAAGUGAAAGGGGUAGUGUCUCACAAUUUUGUUAAGCUGGCAGAAGAGGAAUGAAGAAGAAGGAGAAAGUGAGAGAAAGCAGAGGUUAGUGUUUUGUUUUCUUUUCAGUUGGACUUUGUUUUCUUUCAGUUGGACUUUGUUUUCUUUCAGUUGGACUUUGUUUUCUUUCA